UGUAUGUUAAGGUAUACAUAUAUGUAUCCAAGUACUGGAAACUAAGUAACAAGAAGUUAGGGACUUUUGGCAUCUGAAUCUUGUUCUUGAUGCCUCCUAUUCAAUUUAAUUUUAAGUCUCUCAAGCUAGGACUUGAUAUUGCAUCAAGUCAAGCUUUUGGAGUCACUGUUACAAAAUCUUUUAAUUAAAAAAAAAUGAUUGUUUAUGAUAAAACACUCUAGAAACCAGAGAAAUGGUUGUGGGAGUUAAAGAAAAAAAAGCCACAAGGUAACAUGGUACAACUGUAUUGUAAAAAAAAUUAUUGUGAAUUACUUGUACAUUUGAAUAUGUUUGGUAUAUAAUGAUAAAAGGUUAUAAGUUAAAUUGCCAGUAUUUCUCCCCAUGGUUAACAGGUAACUAUAGAAGCUUCUAAUGAAAGUAAAUACAUGUAUAAUCAGAUAUUUUGCAAUAUUUUUGUUGUUGUGCAUGCUAUAUCUUAUGUGAAUGUUAAGAUUUGCAUUUUUGAGUGACCAUUAUCUUAUAAUUGUGGAUGGUUUUGAUCUGAAAACUUGAGGGCAUUAAAUUUAAAAGAAAGUUUUUUAAAGGAAAUACUAGUUGUUUAAUUUUUGUAUCCAUUAGACUAUCUGUUGUUUAUCAAAGUCACAUUUUCUUUCUUCAAAAUUCAGCAACCUGUAGUAAAAGUGUUGUAUAAAAUUGAGGAGAAUAUUCUUUUUUAUGUACACUAAAAGUAGGAAAACCAUUUAAAAUGUUCCAAUUUUCAGUGCCAAACAUAUAAAUGUUUACUUGUAUUUGGUAUACAGACAUAAUUUUACAUGCUAUGCUAGGUAAUCUACAAAAAUUUCAUGUGUAAUUUAGUUUCCUAUAUUAAAUACAACAAUAGAUUAAGCAUUUUCUUUUUGUAUAGAACUCAAUACAUGUGUUAUUAUUUUAUCUUUAUACAUGUCUUGAGGAAAGUUUUAUUUUUCAUGUUUAUUCCACUUUAAUAAAUGCUUAAAAUUUG
rnacentral:sRNA from 1 species